UUCUUCCUAGCUGUGUUUUGUUCUGGACCUCUGGGUUCUCAAGGCAGUUGGGAACCAUAAAGCCCUUCUCUAACCUUGAGACUAGGGGCCGUGCCCUCUGGUCAGUCCCUAUAGACCUGGAGCGCAAUUGCACAGCUUUGUGGGCCAUGUCUGGGGAAUUCUGAUUUAUAAAACCUCCUGCAGAGCUGUAUGCAGCCAGCACUGUCCUGAGAGGAUGAAUCUGGAGAGCUCUAGAAAGGUAACCAUGACUCUUCAUUCUUCCACCACCGCAACAUCCAUCGGCAUGGCCACCACGACCAGCAGCCAGCCACGAGUGCUGCCGCUUAACCAACAUCUGGUGUCGUGACUCGGAUAGAUCAACAAGGACCUGCUGCUGCUUGCCGCCUCCUCCCCCAUUCAGCAAGACCUCAAGACUGUGAGCGUGCAUGCAUGCGAGCAUCCCUCGCCUCCUCUGGACCCCCACACAGUUACCACUACUGCUACCGCCAUGAUUCUUCACCACAGUGAGUGAGUCCGCCAUUCUCGCGGCUGUAGUCUGAGCUAUAUUCUUUGUGACGGACACUCCAGGGGUUGUCCUCGGGCUGUGCUGGCAAUGGCAGGCACAUUUUUGCUCCUGACGAGGGGGGUCAAUGCUGUCUCGGGUCCAACAGUGUACCAACUGCAGCACAGCCACAGCCUUCAUGAUCCCUUGAUGAAGAAGAUGGCUAACUUGAGCUGAUUCAUAUAUCUCUCCAUUCCUGGGGACGACUGAGAUUGGAGUCUGAUCCCGGUUUGUUAUUUUAAUUUUUUUUUAUUUUUCUCUUGGCUACAGCCAUGGGACAAAGGGAUGGAUACCAAUAAAUCUGGCUACAUAACAGCUUUAUGGGAACUUCUGCCAGCAAAUGGACAAAAGCCAUGGGACAAACGGGCGGGUACCGGUAAAUCUGGCCACAUAACAGUGUCUCAGGAACUUCUGCAAGCGAACAGGCGUAUAAAAGAGUUACUUUAUCCUCAAGCUUUCUGCUAAAGCUCUGAACCCUUCUCCCUCCCCAUUUCUGCCUCUGCCACAUGCAACCUUUUCUGUCUGACUUCCGCCGGCAGUGGGCAGGCUCAAAUGGGUGGGCUUGGGCGGUUUUUACAACUCCCCCUAACUCACCUUAACUCCACCCACUCAUUCUCAAACACCUUGAGAAGCAGAGACGGGUCUGGUAGCAGCUAAGAUCCAUGCAAAUAAGUGUACAAUAGUUAGGAUGGCUCUUAAGCCAAAAAUCAGCUUAUAGCCUCAGACAAGUCUGACAAAAGGGUCGGUUUAUAGUCUGCCUCCUGGCAGAUCUUCCAAACGCUGUCCUUAAGCCAACAAUCAUCAGAAAAAAAAGAAAAUUUCAGGACACGGAGUAAAAUCCAUCUCUUGUUCCACAGACCUCCGUGACUAAAACUUAAGCAUCUGGAGAGCAAGGCUCCUGACCCCACAGGCAAAAGAGUCAUCUGUGGCAUUUAAGGUGUACCAGGGAAGAGAUAAAACCCCAAAAACAAAAUUGCCAAGUGCUGGCACUCGCUGACUUCCGAAAGCUGUUGGGUCCCUGUUUUAAAUGAGGAAAAGGCCACGGGCUAGAGAAUGCCCUGCCAGGCCAUCAACAGCCUUGUUAAAAGUGCUGCCUAGAAAGACAACCAGUCAGCUGACUGCCCCCAGGUGCCAAGACGCAUGGGUACAUCAAGCUAAGACCUCCAGCAGACCUAGGCUUGGCUACAGACAUGACAGGGAACCCAGAACGCAGCAGGGAAGCAAUCUGCUUCUUUCCUUCUGGACACCAAAACCACUAAUUCGGUCCUGGAAGUUUUGGGAUGUCACCUCUCCUUUCUCUAUCGUCGGGUACAGAGGACAGCCUUACCUACCUCACCAGAUUUAAUUGUACUUUCAGAGUUACUUAAUGGAAAAAGAUUUCCAGCUAAGAUAAGAGCUCAUUGUCUUACUCCAGAUCUACUGCCUGUGUUUCUCACAGGCACACAGACAGGGCCCUAAUCUUUGCCUUGUCCCUAAUUCAAAAAAGUAAAUUCUCAUGCACCACAAGCUUUUCUCUUCCCAGUUCCCUGUUCUAACUCACUGUUCAGCUAAUGGUACAGGACCACCACAGAACUGGAGUCCAGAGAUCAUCAAAUAAGAAACUGUAACAGCUAAAACGUGUUUACACCCCCAGACCCAAAAGCGUCUGGGCACUACAAAAAAGACUUUAAUGUAAACAUCUAUUACUAUAAAAUGCUUUUAACAAUUGAUCACCUGUCUCCUGGAUACCAAACUAGUAAAGGAAAUAGAUGCUUUAAAAUAAUCUGUCUCUGAUAAAGCUUAACAUGUUUCAAAAUUCUUCCCAAGCUCCAGAAACAGGCUUAAAUCCAUCUCGACAGGCCAGAUCUACUUCAGAUAAGUGCCAACAUAAAAUAAUGAUGAUUCUUUUCUCUCUAAGCUUUUCUUCUGUGUCACCAGCAUCUUGUCAGACAGAAGGUUCCCAGCCACAGUCAAGAGGGAUACAUGUCUCCAGAACAAUGGAUGGCAGACAGUAUUCCACAACGCCUAUCUACCUUGGAGGAUUCCCCUUCUCCAUUCCCCCAAGAGCCAACUGAUGUCUAAUAGUCAGCUGGAAGCAGCUUUUGAGAGGAAUAACGCCCCUAUUCCCAUCUACCUGCUUUUUUUGUAAUAAGCAAAAGUCUGGGAUGUAAGGAUUAUGUCCUUAAUUAUGUCAUCAGCCUACAAUGGCAUCCCAGCCUAAAAAGCGGGCGUGCCCUCUCUGUGCCCUCUCUUUCCGUAUUCUUUCUCCUCUGUGUGCGCUCUCUCUCUCUCUCUCUCUCUCUCUCUCUCUCUCUCUCUCUCUCUCUCCUCCCCCCCCCCCCAUAAAGCUCUAGAAAGGUAACCAUGGCUCGUGAUUCUUCUGCCACCACAACAUCUGUCGGCAUGGCCGCCACAGGCAUCGGCCAGCCACGAGUGCCACUGCUUAACCAACAGAGGAGGAAACAGCUGGAGAGGUGCACUGGGAGAGGCUUUUGGAAAAGGGAGGGUUCCGAUAGAGGGAGAGGAGCAAGUGUCUUAGUAAAUAGAAUUACCCACAUGGUGGGAACCCAAAGCGGGUAGCAGGGAGGUGCCCACAUGGUGAGCACCCCAAAGUGGGUAGCAGGCUCCAGAAGCCAGAGAGAGAAUACUUACUGAAUAGCAGGGAGAGAUGGAUGGUUAGUUAAGGUGGGGGAAAGGAGCAAUUCUCGAAUCAAAUUUGGUGGGUGACAAAAGCCAGCAGACACAAAUGAUCCAUACAUACCUUAGGAGAAUUGGAUCUGCAGCUUGGUUCAGAGAGGCGAGUUCCCCAGAGGAAGCUCAAUUAUGCCCCUCCUGGCUUUUGACAACAGAUGAAUGAAAAAAAUAAAAAGGAAGGGCACUGACUGCUCCUAGGUAUGAAAGACCCUAACCCUUCAGGCUUACACCCCCAAGCCCCAGGAAUUAAGGAACUAAAAAGAAAACUAGUUCCAAGGGCAGCCUGACUCAGCCAUUACUCAAUCACCCCUGUAACAAUGUAACAAUGUAAAAAGAUUUCUGUUAAGAGAUGUGCUCAACUGUGUCUGGGAUAGUUGCAGGUGUUCCAGGAAGGACCACUGUGACCUUUGUGUAAACUCCACUCCCGCCCUGAUACCCCCCUUGAGGUUUCAGGAAGAAUGUACAUGCGGACGUGACUGUACCCACUCUGUGAUCAGACCAUGAUCUUGUGAAACGAAAUUGUAUGGGAAUUGUAAUCUUGUGGGUUUUGUGGGUUUUUCCUUUAAAAACCCCCAUAUGGCUGCAGUAAGAUGCGACUCUUGCUCUUAGGAGCAGAGUUUGCCCAUCUGUACAGUCACUUCAAUAAAAACCUCGUGCUGUUGCAUCAA